rnacentral:rRNA from 1 species
UACGUAGGGGGCAAGCGUUGUCCGGAAUCAUUGGGCGUAAAGAGCGUGUAGGCGGCCCGAUAAGUCCGCUGUGAAAGUCCAGGGCUCAACCCUGGAAUGCCGGUGGAUACUGUCGGGCUCGAAUCCGGAAGAGGUGAGUGGAAUUCCGGGUGUAGCGGUGAAAUGCGUAGAUAUCCGGAGGAACACCGGUGGCGAAGGCGGCUUCCUGGACCGACACUGACGCUGAGGCGCGAAAGCCAGGGGAGCAAACGGG